AACGUAGGACACGAGCGUUAUCCGGAGUUACUGGGCGUAAAGGGCGUGCAGGCGGUCACAUAAGUCUGAUGUGAAAGCGCCCGGCUUAACCGGGCGAGGACAUUGGAGACUGUGCGACUAGAGGCAGAUAGAGGGGUGUAGAAUUCCGGGAGUAGUGGUGAAAUGCGUAGAGAUCCGGAGGAAUACCAGAGGCGAAGGCGGCACCCUGGGUCUGACCUGACGCUGAGACGCGACAGCAUGGGGAGCGAACGGG
rnacentral:rRNA from 1 species